GCCAGCAGCAAUCUCAGCCUGCAACUCUCAUCUGGCAGCCCACUGAAGCUCAGCAGAUGUGAGCCUGGCCAGUACCUGGAUGGGAGACCCCCCUGGGAAAAACUAAGGUUGCUGCUGGAA
rnacentral:rRNA from 1 species